AAGAGAAAUAUACUUGGUUACACAAUAAUCAAAAAACUUUUAGUAAAAUAUGAAAAGGCUACAGGUUGUGAUUGUUCAGCGAGUCCCUUCCCAGGGCGGUCCUGGAGAACGGAUGGACAACGAGUAACUCACUUCUAAGCAGUUCGAGUAAGCAAGUUAAAAUUAACUUUAAAUCAUCAGGUUAGAAAAUAACAGCAGUUUUGAGCAAAUAAAGAAAGAUCUAGAGAGAACUCGCUCUAGCGA